UCUGGUGUCAGCCGCCGCGGUAAAACCAUCACCUCAAGUGGUCAGGAUGAUUAUUGGGCCUAAAGCAUCCGUAGCCUGUUCCAUAAGUUUUCGGUUAAAUCCAUUAGCUCAACUAAUGGGCCGCCGAAAAUACUGUGGAACUAGGGAGUGGGAGAGGUAGACGGUACUCGGUAGGAAGGGGUAAAAUCCUUUGAUCUAUUGAUGACCACCUGUGGCGAAGGCGGUCUACCAGAACACGUUCGACGGUGAGGGAUGAAAGCUGGGGGAGCAAACCGGAUUAGAUACCCGGGUAGUCCCAGCUGUAAACGAUGCAGACUCGGUGAUGCGCUGGCUUGUGGCCAGUGCAGUGCCGCAGGGAAGCCGUUAAGUUUGCCGCCUGGGAAGUACGUACGCAAGUAUGAAACUUAAAG
rnacentral:rRNA from 2 species